UGGUGCGAUCAUACCAGCACUAAUGCACCGGAUUCCAUCAGAACUCCAAAGUUAAGCGUGCUUGGGCGAGAGUAGUACUAGGAUGGGUGACUUCUUAAGAAAUCCACGUGUUGCACCCC
rnacentral:rRNA from 1 species